GACGUAGGGCGCGAGCGUUGUCCGGAUUUAUUGGGCGUAAAGAGCUCGUAGGCGGCUUGUUGCGUCGACUGUGAAAACCCGGGGCUCAACCCCGGGCCUGCAGUCGAUACGGGCGAGCUAGAGUUCGGCAGGGGAGACUGGAAUUCCUGGUGUAGCGGUGAAAUGCGCAGAUAUCAGGAGGAACACCGGUGGCGAAGGCGGGUCUCUGGGCCGAUACUGACGCUGAGGAGCGAAAGCGUGGGGAGCGAACAGG
rnacentral:rRNA from 1 species